CCCCGCGGCAGCGGGACCCAUCAGGGGCGGCGCGCGAGCCCCGCGACUCGAGUGGGGGGGUUGGCCACGCCAAGCAGGCGGGGAGACGGGAAGCGCACCCCGAGUCGGCUCAGAUCACAUGGGCUGGGUGUGGGGGAGGGGGAGGCGCGGGGAGCUCGGCCCGGGCUGUUCGCUGGGCCGGGAGGCGGCAGCGCCCCCGGGCCCCCCUAGUUCGGACUAUUCAUUCAAGUUCCUGGGGCCCUGCGCCCGAUUCGGAGGUGGCACCCGCCGCCCUCCCUGCCUCUGUGCCCCCGUUUCCAGCCACCGCGCGGAAAUUUAGGUCAAGGACGCCGGGAGCACACCCACACCCUGCGCUCCCAGGGCAGUCCUCGAGAACCCCGGGAUCUGGGGGGCUUGCGGAUGGAGGAGACCCUCCUGCACGAACACCAGCCACAAGUUUUAUUUUCCCUUCGCGCGGCAAGUUCUCUGGCUCCCGCUCCACACUGGCACGUCCUGCACGGCUCCCCGCCCUUCCCCGCCAGAGGAUUAGGAGACAAUGGAAUUCACUCAUCACCAAAACUAUGCCGUGUCCAUUGUGGGUUUGGAGACAUUUGGAAAAAUCUCAACACAGCCAAAGCUUUUGAGUGGUCAGACUGUCAAUCUCUCUGUCCCCUAAACUGGGGUAGUGCCUCUCUGACAGCAUGGAUGGGCGGAGCAUUUGUAGUGAACAAUGUAACAAUGUCAAAGUCCCUUUUUAAAAUUGUGUACUUACAUGGACUGUGUUUAUUAUAAAUUGUGAAUAUGAUUUUUAGAAGGCACUUCAUAAGACUUCAGACCACAAACCCUGCUGUUUCCCAACACUCCAAACAAACUGAUUUUUGAAUCAUCUGGGUUCCCAUGUGUUAAAGAGCUGCAUGUUUUUAUGAUGGUAAUUGUUUUUUUGCGAUUAUUCUCAAUCACAAAGUACAGGCAACACAGCUAAUUGGAUUAUAUUUUGGAUUUUUACCGCAGAACCACAGAUCAUCAGAGCUAGAAAGGCCUUUCUUUACCCGGCUCCUUCCUUGAAUAUGGGAGUCCCAAAGGUGCCAGGCUGUCAGGCCGCCUUCCCACCCCAACCAGUUAAUACCUAAAAGGGGCUCUGGCCAUGGUUCAGUGCCCUUUGACUCUGUAGUGUGCUGUUUGUUGUUCCUCGAUAGGCAGAAGUCAGUGGCUACCUUCCUGAUGGAGACUUGAACAAACUGUUAAGUGGUGAGCUGGGAGGAGACCUGAUGGGGCGGGGCCCCGAGCACUGCAGUGUCCAAGCCAGAGACUGAUAAAGGACUAAAGGAGAAGGCUACUACGUCACUGCACUGUUUUUCUUAAGAUUUGGAAAUCUGGUGUUUUGGCUAACGAGUUGUGUUCCUCUUCGCCUCUUAUGACUCUCCUUUCUCACCUCCAGUUCAAAAUGACUGCAAGCAGCCAAGCCACCAACUCCGUCUUGAUGAAAGGGGCCGGGCUCCCAGAAGAAAAUAGCUUUGCCUUUCAACUCCACCUGGAAACGGUUGACAUGGCGCUACCUUCACUCAAGCCUCUCCACUAGCCUUGGCGCUUCCCCCAUCUCUGCCAAGGCUGGCCCCUGCCAAGCCAAUCUAAAUAUCACAGCUGGAAGUACAGGGUCUCCCCCGCCCCCAACCCUUUCUCCCACACUCUAUACGUUGUACCUUGGGACCUUUCAACAUUCUCUAUGGUCAUUCUGAACACCCGCACCCUGCCCAUCCACUACGGCAACAGGCUCACAGACCCACAACUACACAUUAGAUUUUUUAAA
rnacentral:lncRNA from 1 species